AGGCUUAACACAUGCAAGUCGAGCGGGCGUAGCAAUACGUCAGCGGCAGACGGGUGAGUAACGCGUGGGAACGUACCUUUUGGUUCGGAACAACACAGGGAAACUUGUGCUAAUACCGGAUAAGCCCUUACGGGGAAAGAUUUAUCGCCGAAAGAUCGGCCCGCGUCUGAUUAGCUAGUUGGUAGGGUAACGGCCUACCAAGGCGACGAUCAGUAGCUGGUCUGAGAGGAUGAUCAGCCACAUUGGGACUGAGACACGGCCCAAACUCCUACGGGAGGCAGCAGUGGGGAAUAUUGGACAAUGGGGGCAACCCUGAUCCAGCCAUGCCGCGUGAGUGAUGAAGGCCCUAGGGUUGUAAAGCUCUUUUGUGCGGGAAGAUAAUGACGGUACCGCAAGAAUAAGCCCCGGCUAACUUCGUGC
rnacentral:rRNA from 1 species